UAUUGAUGUUCUCUUCACUUUCCACCUUGAUAACAGUUCGGGGUUAUCGUUACGUACUGAUCUAAAUCUAGACUUCAUGACGUCAUAGAAGAAAUACGUGAACUGAAAGGAAUACGUGGUGGCACACACAAAUUAAAUGUUGCCCGGUAAGUUAAUUUUCAUCUUGAAAAUACAGAAAACGGAAACUAAAGAAGAAGAACGAAAUUGAAUCCUGCAAGAAUGAAAUGCACGAUUCACUCUUAAGAAUUUGUAUUUUACAGGCUUGAACGUUGUGAAUCUUUUUAUAGGAG